rnacentral:rRNA from 1 species
UAGGUCGGGUGUGUAAGCGCAGCGAUGCGUUGAGCUAACCGAUACUAAUGAACCGUGAGGCUUAACCUUACAACGCCGAAGC